AUGUCCUCUUCGUCCACGGUGGGCAACAUCGCUCCCAACGACGGAUCGUCGUCGCCGCCUGCGUCGGCCAUCGUCGCGCAGGCCAUGUCCGGGUCGCACGUAGUCAAGAUAGACGGCUACUCCCGCACCAAGGGGCUUGGCAAUGGCAAAUACAUCAAGUCCGAGACCUUCACCAUCGGAGGCCAUCCCUGGUGUAUGCGCUACUACCCAGACGGCUGUCAGACUGAAGACGCAGAUUGGAUAUCCAUCUAUCUGCAGCAUAGUACUGAUCCAACUGAUGCUAGUGAAGUCAAAGAAGAGUUCAAGAUGAGUUUGCUUGACCAGGACAGGCAACCGGUGGCAUUGUACAGCAGAUGCAGCAGCCACAUAGGCACAUUCUCCAGACUCCACGAAAGGUGCAGCAUGGGCUUCGCUCAAUUCAUCAAGAGAAAGGAUUUGGAGGAAUCCCUUUACCUUAGGCAUGAUGUUUUCAGCAUCAGGUGCGAUGUCUCCGUGUCAAAGAAGAUCUUCACCGAGCCAAUCCCACCGCACGUCGUCCUGCCACCGUCCAACAUGCACCAGCAUCUCGGACAACUUCUCUUGGCCGGCGAGGCGGCCGAUGUUACCUUCGAGGUCGGCGAGGAGACAUUAGCUGCGCACAGGUGCAUACUCGCAGCUCGGUCACCGGUCUUCAAGGCAGAGCUCCUUGGCCCCAUGAAGGAGAAGACCGCAACUCGAGUGCUGAUCGAUGACAUGGAAGCCAGAGUGUUCAAGGCGUUGCUCCAUUUCAUCGACUCGUUGCCCUCCAUGGACAAAGGCGGCGCGACGGAGAUUGCUCAGCAUUUGCUGGUGGCGGCUGACAGGUAUGAUAUGGAGAGGCUGAAGCUGAUCUGCGAGGGGAGGCUGUGUGAUCACAUUCAGGGAAGCACGGUGGCGACCACGCUGGCACUGGCUGAGCAGCACGGCUGUGCUGCUCUCAAGAAGGCAUGCUUCAAGUUCCUGAUGUCUCCGGGUAACCUGAAGGUGGUCAUGGAAUCUGAUGGAUAUGAGCACCUCAAGAGCAGUUGCCCAUCUGUUCUGGACGAACUGGUCGCCAAGCUUGCUCCAUGA
rnacentral:rRNA from 1 species